UAAUGGACACACAUUGAGACAUAAGUGGCUGUUUUUUUUUCACCACGUAAUAGUAAAGCAUUCAUUUCCUUCGCCUUAUUUCUUAUACUCUCCUUUUUUAUGUUGAUGGGCAGUUGGAUGGAUGAACUAGGCAUGACUUCACUUGCAAAAGUACUAAAGAUAUGUUUGUUAUGCAGGCAGCCCGGUCAGAGCGUCAAUAAGUGCUAAGUGCUCUGACAAGAAUGAGAAGAACAUUGACAAUAAGUUAUGGUUAGUGUAGAAUUUGGCCAUUCUCUUGCCUUAUGCCACCACCCUCUUUAUGUCGGAUGCUUCUGCUGCUGCAUCUGCACAUCAUGCUUUGAAUGGUCAUAUAAUAUAAUUUCAUUUCAAAUGCAUGUUAGCCAUUUUUGCAUCAGAGCAAAAAAGAGUGUAAUGUUUAACUUGGUAAUGCUUUUUUUUUUCAUUAUAUAUGACAUUUAUUUUCAGACUACUAACCUGCUAAUCUUCUCGAGAAACUCCCAGAUUUUUAGAUGGAUUUAGCGCAUUUUUUGAAAACUGAAAAUAUGAGUGAUGACAAACCGCCAUACUGACUCUUUCAUACUUGCUACUUUUCCCUUUGAGAAAUUCUUGGCUACCGCUAAUAUUUUCAUCCAACUUAAAUAUUUUAUGUAUUACUUAACAUUUAUCCUCUUGACUUUCUAAAUUUAUUUGUUUGUGGUUAUGUUAAAGUGUUUUAAUUGGUUGGAUUGUUGUCAUAUAAAAACGUCAACAGGUCGAAAAGAGGCCACUUUUGAGCUUAAAGAGGACGAUAUAAAAGCUGAAAAAAACCAACCAUGUGUGAAUGUUAUUACACCUUCCCCCAAUGUUGCUUAUCGUUUACUUUUUCAUUAAAAUGACACCAUUUCAUGUUUUACCAUUCUAUCAGUUUUAUUUUAUAUUGUUUUGUGGUU